AGUUAACUGACAUGACCAGGUGGUGAAGUGCCCAGACUGUUUCUCUUCAGCCAAAUGGAGAUGGUCCAGAUGAUCCAGACCCACAAUUUUGUUGGUGUGAAUAAUGUUUGUUAUGAAAACUCCCUUCCCUCUCUAACAUACUCAGUAACUCAUCUGGGACUCAAUGACAGAAUCAUGAAAUCAUAGACUUUCAGCAUGUCAAGUGCCAACUGGAUCAAACCAUGCCC
rnacentral:lncRNA from 1 species